ensembl:lncRNA
AUGUUUGAUGAGAGUCUCAACGAGACUACGAAAAACAAACAGCUGGAUGUGCACGUCUGCUUCUGGAAUGAGGGACAGGUUCAGUCCAGAUAUCUGGGCUCUCAGUUUAUGGGACAUUCCACUGCACAAGACCUGCUGUCGCAUCUCAAAGAAUGUAUGGACAGACUGAACCUCAGGGACUUGGUGUCCAUCUCAAUGGAUGGGCCCAGUGUGAAUUGGAAACUCUUUGACCUUUUCCAGAAAGAUCACGCUGAGCAGUAUGGAGGGGAUAUCAUACUGCAGCACUUCGACAGUUUCCUAUCCUUGGAGAGCCGGAGUGAGGACUUCCUCUCUUUUCCUCCCAUGCAGAAGAGGCUGGACAUCUUCCUGAGGAGUGCCAUGGAACCUUAUCCAGAGCUGUGGGGCUUCUGCAAGAAGCUGCUCAUCCUUUCCCACGGCCAAGCUACAGUUGAACGUGGAUUCUCUAUCAACAAAGAGAUGGAGUCAGACAAUAUUCAAGAGGACAAUGUGGUCACACGGAGGCUGGUGUGUGAUUAUAUCACACAACACGGAGGUUUUACCCAGGUUCCACUCAGUAAAGCGCUAUUCGAGAGUGUAGCAAGAGCUAGGACCAGAUAUCGUGCCCAUCUUGAGACAGAGAGAAAGAAAAGGGAGGCAAAAUCCUAG